GCCCAGUUCUGCAGCAGAGAAGACAACAGUGAAAGGUCCUGAGGAAUGGGGUUCCUUGGGAGAAGGACGAGCUAAAGCCCCAGGGAAGCUGUUAGCUCCUGAGAAAGAGAAGGAAGAGGACUGGAAGAGGAAAGAUGAUGUGUCUGGCGAGUACGAGUCCUCGGUGGCCUCCACACCCAAGAGCCCAGUGGCGAGGAGGCGGUCUGUCAGGUUUUCCAGCGACACGAGCAGCCAAGUGAAAGCAGAGCUGCACCCCAAAGCUGCUCCUGCAGGCAGCAGGCGCACGGUGCGGGGCAGGGCGGCUGGAGCCGACUGGCUGGGCUGGAAGGAUGAGGAUUGGUGUGAGUGGGAGCCGCUGCCUGCAGCGAAGGGCAGCCCUGCCGUGAGCCGCCCCAGCCCUGCCCCGGCCGCACGGCCUGGCCCCGCCAGCCACGUCCCGGCUGCAGAGGAGGCGGCAGCUAAAGCGGCCCCGCUGGAGGAGGAGGACUGGCUGAUCGCUGCCUUGGCUCGCAAGAAAGCCCAAGCGCAGGCCAAGGCCCAGGAGAGGAAUGCCGAGGCCUCGGAGGCCCCAGGGGAAAGGCUGCAUCCCCGUCCUGCU